AACAGCAGCAGGCUGCCAUUUGGGCUGCCCCACUACAUCUGGCAAAGAGAAACCUGGAGCAAACCACGAGGGCUCUCACCAUGCUCCCUGUCAGCACCUUGUUCAAACUGGACUCGGAAUGAUUGGGAACAGACUCUUGCUUCUGAUUGAGGUAGAAGAGAUAUAAUACAUAAUAUACCCACUGUGGGGUAGGCUAUUGAGAAGGAGCUCUGCAGCAGCUGAAAGGAUGCCAUAUACUUACCAUCUGAGAUGGCUGACUCCCGGGAUAGAGCAUUCCAGCAAGCACACUGCU